UGGGGAAUAUUGGACAAUGGGCGAAAGCCUGAUCCAGCCAUGCCGCGUGUGUGAAGAAGGUCUUCGGAUUGUACAGCACUUUAAGUUGGGAGGAAGGGCAUUAACCUAAUACGUUAGUGUUUUGACGUUACCGACAGAAUAAGCACCGGCUAACUCUGUGCCAGCAGCCGCGGUAAUACAGAGGGUGCAAGAGUUAAACGGAAUUACUGGGCGUAAAGCGCGCGUAGGUGGUUUGUUAAGUUGGAUGUGAAAUCCCCGGGCUCAACCUGGGAACUGCAUUCAAAACUGACUGACUAGAGUAUGGUAGAGGGUGGUGGAAUUUCCUGUGUAGCGGUGAAAUGCGUAGAUAUAGGAAGGAACACCAGUGGCGAAGGCGACCACCUGGACUAAUACUGACACUGAGGUGCGAAAGCGUGGGGAGCAAACA
rnacentral:rRNA from 1 species